rnacentral:rRNA from 1 species
GAUGAACGCUGGCGGCGUGCCUAAUACAUGCAAGUCGAGCGAACGGACGCGAAGCUUGCUUUUCUGAUGUUAGCGGCGGACGGGUGAGUAAUACGUGGAUAACCUACCUAUAAGACUGGGAUAACUUCGGGAAACCGGAGCUAAUACCGGAUAAUAUUUUGAAUCGCAUGGUUCAAAAGUGAAAGAUGGUCUUGCUGUCAUUUAUAGAUGGAUCCGCGCUGCAUUAGCUAGUUGGUAAGGUAACGGCUUACCAAGGCAACGAUGCAUAGCCGACCUGAGAGGGUGAUCGUCCACACUGGAACUGAGACACGGUCCAGACUCCUACGGGAGGCAGCAGUGGGGAAUCUUCCGCAAUGGGCGAAAGCCUAACGGAGCAACGCCGCGUGAGUGAUGAAGGUCUUCGGAUCUUAAAACUCUGUUAUUAGGGAAAAACAUAUGUGUAAGUAACUGUGCACAUCUUGACGGUACCUAAUCAGAAAGCCACGGCUAACUACGUG